rnacentral:tRNA from 1 species
GCGGUCGUGGUGAAAUUGGUAGACACGCAGCGUUGAGGUCGCUGUGGCUUAUAAUGCCUUGGAAGUUCAAAUCUUCUCGUCCGCACCA